CCUACGGGAGGCUGCAGUGGGGAAUAUUGGACAAUGGGGGGAACCCUGAUCCAGCCAUGCCGCGUGUGUGAAGAAGGCCCUCGGGUUGUAAAGCACUUUCAGUGAGGAAGAACGCCUGGUGGUUAAUACCCAUCAGGAAAGACAUCACUCACAGAAGAAGCACCGGCUAACUCCGUGCCAGCAGCCGCGGUAAUACGGAGGGUGCGAGCGUUAAUCGGAAUUACUGGGCGUAAAGCGCGCGUAGGUGGCUUGAUAAGCCGGUUGUGAAAGCCCCGGGCUCAACCUGGGAACGGCAUCCGGAACUGUCAAGCUAGAGUGCAGGAGAGGAAGGUAGAAUUCCCGGUGUAGCGGUGAAAUGCGUAGAGAUCGGCAGGAAUACCAGUGGCGAAGGCGGCCUUCUGGACUGACACUGACACUGAGGUGCGAAAGCGUGGGUAGCAAACAGGAUUAGAUACCCGUGUAGUC
rnacentral:rRNA from 1 species